CGCCGCGUGAGGGAUGACGGCCUAAGGGUAUGUAAACCUCUUUCAGCAGGGAAGAAGCGAAAGUGACGGUACCUGCAGAAGAAGCGCCGGCUAACUACGUGCCAGCAGCCGCGGUAAUACGUAGGGCGCAAGCGUUGUCCGGAAUUAUUGGGCGUAAAGAGCUCGUAGGCGGCUUGUCACGUCGAUUGUGAAAGCCCGAGGCUUAACCUCGGGUCUGCAGUCGAUACGGGCUAGCUAGAGUGUGGUAGGGGAGAUCGGAAUUCCUGGUGUAGCGGUGAAAUGCGCAGAUAUCAGGAGGAACACCGGUGGCGAAGGCGGAUCUCUGGGCCAUUACUGACGCUGAGGAGCGAAAGCGUGGGGAGCGAACAGGAUUAGAUACCCUGGUAGUCCACGCCGUAAACGGUGGGAACUAGGUGUUGGCGACAUUCCACGUCGUCGGUGCCGCAGCUAACGCAUUAAGUUCCCCGCCUGGGGAGUACGGCCGCAAGGCUAAAACUCAAAGGAAUUGACGGGGGCCCGCACAAGCGGCGGAGCAUGUGGCUUAAUUCGACGCAACGCGAAGAACCUUACCAAGGCUUGACAUACACCGGAAAGCAUUAGAGAUAGUGCCCCCCUUGUG
rnacentral:rRNA from 1 species